CGUGCCUAAUACAUGCAAGUCGAGCGCAGGAAACAAGUAGAAUCCCUUCGGGGUGACGCUUGUGGAAUGAGCGGCGGACGGGUGAGUAACACGUGGGCAACCUACCUUGUAGACUGGGAUAACUCCGGGAAACCGGAGCUAAUACGGGAUGAUCAUUUGAAUCGCAUGAUUGAAAUGUAAAAGUGGGGAGUAAGUCCUCACACUACGAGAUGGGCCCGCGGCGCAUUAGCUAGUUGGUAAGGUAAUGGCUUACCAAGGCAACGAUGCGUAGCCGACCUGAGAGGGUGAUCGGCCACACUGGAACUGAGACACGGUCCAGACUCCUACGGGAGGCAGCAGUAGGGAAUCAUCCGCAAUGGGCGAAAGCCUGACGGUGCAACGCCGCGUGAACGAUGAAGGUUUUCGGAUCGUAAAGUUCUGUUAUGAGGGAAGAACAAGUGCCGUUCGAAUAGGGCGGCACCUUGACGGUACCUCACGAGAAAGCCCCGGCUAACUACGUG
rnacentral:rRNA from 1 species